rnacentral:rRNA from 1 species
UACGAAGGGGGCUAGCGUUGUUCGGAAUUACUGGGCGUAAAGCGCACGUAGGCGGAUAUUUAAGUCAGGGGUGAAAUCCCGGGGCUCAACCCCGGAACUGCCUUUGAUACUGGGUAUCUCGAGUCCGAGAGAGGUGAGUGGAACUGCGAGUGUAGAGGUGAAAUUCGUAGAUAUUCGCAAGAACACCAGUGGCGAAGGCGGCUCACUGGCCCGGUACUGACGCUGAGGCACGAAAGUGUGGGGGAUCAAACAGG